rnacentral:rRNA from 1 species
UACGUAGGGUGCGAGCGUUGUCCGGAAUUAUUGGGCGUAAAGGGCUCGUAGGCGGUCUGUCACGUCGGGAGUGAAAACUCGGGGCUUAACUCCGAGCCUGCUUCUGAUACGGGCAGACUGGAGUACUGCAGGGGAGACUGGAAUUCCUGGUGUAGCGGUGGAAUGCGCAGAUAUCAGGAGGAACACCGGUGGCGAAGGCGGUGCUCUGGGCCAGUACUGACGCUGAGGAGCGAAAGCGUGGGUAGCAAACAGG